ACGCUCGACACCUACGGGAGCAGCAGUGGGGAAUAUUGCACAAUGGGGGAAACCCUGAUGCAGCGACGCCGCGUGGAGGAAGAAGGUCUUCGGAUUGUAAACUCCUGUUGUUGGGGAAAAAGAGGAUGGUACCCAAACAAGGAAGUGACGGCUAACUACGUGCAAGCAGCCGCGGUAAUCUGAGCGGGCUGGCAAGGC
rnacentral:rRNA from 1 species